UAAGUCACGCGCGUCGUGUCAUUUAGUCCCGAGCGGAACGCAGUGGAGGUCGGACGUAGGUAUGCCAAUUCUUGCGAGAACGUCGUUCUGAGUUCGCGGACGUAUUAAAAGGACAAUGCCAGGGUCUGGGCUCAUAGUUUGCCCAGCAAUGGGAGUAGUUCCAGGGAGUUCCUUAGUGCUCUCUGAACACGUAAUGAAAAUAUUUUUGAAAUCGCUCCCUGGGGUCCCGAGGAAAACCGGUUCAAAUAUUCUCCAUGAAGAGUCACUUUACAAGGCCUGAGCCAUUUGUCCAGUAGUAGGAAUGGUUGGAAUAGGUUCUUUACUUCACUCUUAACACGAAAUUAAAAUAUUUUUGAAAUCGGUCCCAGGGGUCCCGAGAAAAACCGGUUCAAAUGUUCUCCUUAGAUAGUCACUUAACAAAGUCUUUGGCAUUUGCCCAGUAGUGGGAGUGGUCAAAAUAGGUUCUUUACAUCACUCUUAACAUGAAAUCCAAAUAUUUUUGAAAUCGGUCCCUGGGGUCCGGAGAAAAACCGGUUCUAAUAUUCCACAUGAACUGUCGCUUUACAAAGCCUGUGUCAUUUGCCCAGUAGUGGGAGUGAUUGAAAAAGGUUCCUUACUUCACUCUUAACAUGAAAUUAAAAUAUUUUUAAAAUCGGUCCCUGGGGUCCCGAGAAAAACCGGUUCAAAUGUUCUCCUUAGAUAGUCACUUAACAAAGUCUUUGGCAUUUGCCCAGUAGUGGGAGUGGUCAAAAUAGGUUCCUUACUUCACUCUUAACAUGAAAUUAAAAUAUUUUUGAAAUCGGUCCCAGGGGUCCCGAGGAAAACCGGUUUAAAUGUUCCACAUGAACAGUCUGUUUACAAAGCCUAUGCCAUUUGCCCAGUAGUGGGAGUGGUUGGAAUAGGUUCUCUAAUUCACUCUUAACAAGAAAUCAAAAUAUUUUUGAAAUCGGUCCCAGGGGUCCCGAGAAAUUAAUCUGAUAAGACUUUUCUGCCAAACAAGUCUUACUCUUAUGUACAUUGUCAAUCUCAAUGCUCAGGAUCUCGCUGUCAGGAUCCAGUACUGGAAAAUGUUGGAAUGGGUUAUUUUUUUAC
rnacentral:lncRNA from 1 species